UCAAGCUAUAAAGAGCGCAAGGGGAAUGCCUUGGCAUCAGGAGCCGAAGAAGGACGUGACAAGCUGCGAUAAGCCACGGGGAGGAGCAAAUAUCCGCUAUAUCCGUGGAUUUCCGAAUGGGGGAACCCGCUUGAGCAAUACUCAAGCAUCGUGCAUUGAAUCAAAUAGGUGUACGAGGGGAACGGUCUGAACUGAAACAUCUAAGUAGGACCAGGAAAAGACAUCAACCGAGAUUCCGCAAGUAGUGGCGAGCGAACGCGGAGGAGGCCAAACCGGAGGAUUUAUUCUCCGGGGUUGCGGACAGACAUCACGAUCAGAGGAAGCUAGGAGAACGGCAUGGGAAGGCCGGCUAAAAAGGGUGAGAGCCCCGUAUCCGAAAGCAGGAGCUGACAGUCUGGAUCCAGAGUACCGCGGGACACGUGAAACCCCGUGGGAAACCGGGUGGACCACCAUCCAAGCCUAAAUACUACCUGAUGACCGAUAGAGGAGCAGUACCGUGAGGGAAAGGUGAAAAGGACCCCGGGAGGGGAGUGAAAGAGAACCUGAAACCUUGUGCUUACAAGCAGUCAAAGCACGUUAAGGUGUGAUGACGUACUUUUUGUAGAACGGUCCGGCGAGUUAUAGUAACGAGCAAGCUUAAGGUAUUCAGUACCGAAGGCGCAGCGAGAGCGAGUCUGAAUAGGGCGUAUAAAGUUCGUUGCCAUAGACCCGAAACCGGGUGACCUAUCCAUGAGCAGGCUGAAGUGGAGGUAAAACUCCAUGGAGGGCCGAACCGACCCCCGUUGCAAUGGUGGCGGAUGACUUGUGGAUAGCGGAGAAAUUCCAAUCGAACUCGGAGAUAGCUGGUUCUCCCCGAAAUAGCUUUAGGGCUAGCCUCGAUUUAGAUUACCGGGGGUAGAGCACUGAAUGGGCUAGGGGGCCACAAAGCUUACCGAACCCUAUCAAACUUCGAAUACCGGAUAAUUGAUGAUCGGGAGUCAGACAGUGUGAGAUAAGUUUCAUUGUCGAAAGGGAAACAGCCCAGAUCUACGACUAAGGUCCCAAAGUUCAAGUUAAGUGGAAAAGGAUGUGCAAUUGCGUAGACAACCAGGAUGUUGGCUUAGUAGCAGCCAUUCAUUCAAAGAGUGCGUAAUAGCUCACUGGUCGAGUGAUUGUGCGCCGAAAAUGUAACGGGGCUAAACUUGACACCGAAGUCUAGGCAGAAGGAAACUUCUGGGUAGGGGAGCAACGUGUACGGGCAGAAGCAGAAGCGGAAGCGACUGUGGACUGUACAGGAGAGAGAAUGCCGGCAUGAGUAGCGAGAGCAAAGUGAGAAUCUUUGCCGUCGAAAGCCUAAGGUUUCCUGAGGAAGGCUCGUCCUCUCAGGGUAAGUCGGGACCUAAGCCGAGGACAAUAGUCGUAGGCGAUGGACAAUCGGUUAAUAUUCCGAUACCGCCGAGCAACCGGAUGCAGUGACACAGAAGGAUAGGCAGAGCGUGGCGAUGGUAGACCACGUCCAAGCAGUGAGGCUGUUGUGUAGUGAAGUACGCACAACGUAAGGCUGGGCUGUGAUGGGGAACGAUUACGAUCGGUAAGCUGCUGAAUUCACGCUGGCGAGAAAAGCUGCUACGAAGCGAAGGCGCCCGUACCGCAAACCGACACAGGUAGGCGAGGAGAGAAUCCUAAGACGAGCGGGAGAACCCUUGUUAAGGAACUCGGCAAAAUGACUCCGUAACUUAGGGAGAAGGAGUGCCCAGGAAUGGGCCGCAGAGAAUAGACCCAAGCGACUGUUUACCAAAAACACAGGUCUGUGCGAAGUAGAGAUACGACGUAUACGGGCUGACACCUGCCCAGUGCCGGAAGGUUAAGGGGAAAUGUUAGGGCAACCGAAGCAUGGAACUUAAGCCCCGGUGAACGGCGGCCGUAACUAUAACGGUCCUAAGGUAGCGAAAUUCCUUGUCGGGUAAG
rnacentral:rRNA from 1 species